UACGUAGGGGCUAGCGUUAUCCGGAAUUACUGGGCGUAAAGGGUGCGUAGGUGGUUUCUUAAGUCAGAGGUGAAAGGCUACGGCUCAACCGUAGUAAGCCUUUGAAACUGGGAAACUUGAGUGCAGGAGAGGAGAGUGGAAUUCCUAGUGUAGCGGUGAAAUGCGUAGAUAUUAGGAGGAACACCAGUUGCGAAGGCGGUUCUCUGGACUGUAACUGACACUGAGGCACGAAAGCGUGGGGAGCAAACAGGAUUAGAUACCCCGGUAGUCCCUGAGCGGGCUGG
rnacentral:rRNA from 1 species